CGUGAGGAACCUGCCUUUCAGAGGGGGACAACAGUUGGAAACGACUGCUAAUACCGCAUAAUAUAUGUUUGUCGCAUGGCAGAUAUAUCAAAGAUUUAUCGCUGAGAGAUGGCCUCGCGUCUGAUUAGCUAGUUGGUAGGGUAAUGGCCUACCAAGGCGACGAUCAGUAGCCGGACUGAGAGGUUGGCCGGCCACAUUGGGACUGAGAUACGGCCCAGACUCCUACGGAAGGCAGCAG
rnacentral:rRNA from 1 species